GGUCUUCAUUUUCACCCUGGAUGACAACCUCACGGAGGUGCAGGCGCUGGUGGAGCAGGUGAAGGAGAAGACGGCCCACAUCCAGGCCCUGGCGCAUAGCACCGUGGGGCAGACCCUGCCGACCCCUCUGAGGAAGCUCUUCCCUCCAUCAUCCGCAUCACGUGGCCACUGCUUUUCUUCGAAUAGGAAGGGAACUUCAUCCAGAGAGAGAACACGAGUGUGGGGGAUGGGCAGAAGGCGAGCGAGAGAAUCUCAAGGAGACUCAGCCCUGAGUGUGGAACCCAACGUGGGGUUUGAUCUCAUGAUUCUGAGAUCACGACCUGAGCUGAGACAGAGAGUCGGACACUUCGCUGACUGAGCCACCCAGGCACCUCUCUUCGGCUCAUUUCUAAUUGGAUUACUUGGUUUUUGGGGUGUUGAAUUGUGUAAUUUCUCUCUCUCUAUUGGAUACUAACCCUUUAUCGGAUAUGUCAUUAGCAAAUAUCUUCUCCCACUCAGUAAGUUGUUGUUUGGUUUUGUUGGUUGCUUCCUGUGCUGUGCAGAAGCUUUUAGUUUUGGUGUAGUCCUAACAGUUUAUUUCUGCUUUGCUUUCCCUUGCCUCAGGAGACAUAUCUAGAAAUAUGUUGCUGUGGCCAAUGUCAGAGAACUUACUCCCUGUGCUCUCUUCCAGGAUUUUUAUGGUUUCCGGUCGCACAUAGAGGUCCUUUACCUGUUUUGAGUUUAUUUUUGUGUACGUUGUAAGAAAAUGGUCCAACUCAUCCUUUUGCAUUUAGCAAGUCAGUGUUCUCAACACCAUUUGUUGAAGAGACUUUUUCCCAUCACAUAUUUCCUCCUUUGUCAAAGAUUAAUUGACCAUAUCAUCAUGGGUUUAUUUCUGACUUUCUAUUCUGUUCCAUUGAUCUGUGUGCCUGUUUUUGUGCCAGUACCAUACUAUUUUGCUUGUUAAAGCUUUGUAGUAGUAUACCUUGGAAUCUGGGAUUGUGACCCCUCCAGAUGUGUUUUUUUCCUCCCCUAUGAUUGUUUUGGCAGUUUGGGAUCUUUUGUAGUUCUGUACAAAUUUUAUGAUUGUUCUAGUUGCGUGAAAAAUGUUCCCUGACAUUUAGUAAGUGCUCCCUGGGUGUCUGUGAAAUGAAUACAUGACUUUUCAAUUUUAACCCUGGGUGACUGACAAGAUGAUGGCAUUUUGAACAACAUAGGAAACAUUAGGCAGAAGUUGUGUGGUAGGAGGCUGAAAAUGAACUCUACCAUUUGAAGUGCUUGUAAAAUCUAUGCAGAGAUGUUCACCUUGCCGCUCAAAUUAAUUGUCUAGACCUGUGCUACCCAGUCCGGUAUCCACUGGCCACGUGGCGCCAUUCAAAUUUAAAUUAACCAAAAUUACAUACAAUUUAAAAUUCAGUUCCUUACUCGCACUGUGGACGUUUCAAGUAUCACAUGUGGCUAGAGGCUAUCACAUUGGACAGAGCAGAUCUUGGAUAUUUCAUCAUCAUAGAAAAUUCUAUUGGACCGCAUUAGCCUAUACUCUAGAUCUUGGAGGUAGAUCUAGUUAUCAACAUAUUUGGCCACAAAGUUCCUUUCAGUGUUUUUUCUUCUCAUAAACAUCUCUCAAACACAGCAAUCCCACUUGAGUAUUACUGUCCUCACUAGGACUUCAUCUAUUUAUGGUAUGCUGGCUGGUCUCCUACCAACUUUUUCCAGCCUAGAGCAUAGAACAUAGCCCUGGCUUUAUGGAAGAGAAACCACACGCACAGAGCUUCCCACGGCUGACUGUGUCACUCGCCAAAACUGACUGAACCAACAAACAAAAUCUCUCAGCACCCCACCACCUGCAGCAGCUUUUCCCAGCCUGUUUGGACCCUGAAAACUUUCGUUGUCAAAAUUUGUCAACCCCUUGGGAAUUUAUACAUCGCUUUAUCUCUUUUUCAUAAUACAUGAUAAGUGACAUUAGGUAUAUAAUAUUUUCAUUUUAAAGCAGCAUGUUUUUUAAAGUUGGAAAGUUCAUUUUAACAUCUUUAAGAGGAAAAGACGAAUGCCCACUUUCCCCCAUGUAACAGGUGAGGCAUGAAAGUUCAUUGACUUUAACAGGUGUGCAUUGUUCCAGAACACUUAGAUAUAAGAAAGGGCAAAUAUAGUUCCUUGUCUACAUUGAGUAUAAUCUGCUUUAAGCCUCCUAUGACCUAGGUUGGCUAAAAAGCCCAGGGUCCGUUUUUCCUCCCCCAACCUUUGUACUGUAUGGGAGUUCUGGAGCUUUGGCAGUUUAUCCCAAAUGGUGGAAGGUCAUGUCCUUUUUUAAAAAACAAAGAUUUUAUUUUUAUUUAUUUGGGGAGAGCGUGUGCGCAAGCAGUGAGGAGGGGCAGUGAGGGGGGGAGAGAGAGAGAGAGAGACCUCAAGUCGGUUUCCCACUGAGCAUGGAGCCCAAUGUGGGGCUUGAUCCCAUGACUCUCAGAUCAGGACACGAGCCCAAAUCAAGAGACACUCAACCAACUGACCCACCCAAGUGCCCAGAUGGUUAGGUUCUUAAACCAUGGGAGUAACUGUUGCUUUUCAUCUUGGGCAUCUGAAGGCAAAAAUGGUGGCUCAAGGGCACCUGGGUAGCUCAGUGGGUUAAAGCCUCUGCCUUUGGCUCAGGUCAUGAUCUCAGGGUCCUGGGAUCGAACCUUGCAUCGGGCUGUCUGCUCAGCAGUGAGCCUGCUCCCCACCCCCCUGACCCCCGCGUGCCUCUCUGCCUACUUGUGAUCUCUUUCUGUCAAAUAAAUAAAAAAAUAAAUCUUUUAAAAAAGUGCAUAAUGAAUCUUCGUGAUUCCAUAACCCACAUUGUUUUGACAAGGCAAAUGUCGGGUAACAUAAUUUCAUUCCUAAUUAAAUGCGUGUUUCUAAAAGGAUAAGACUCUUUUAAGAGAAAAUACUUAAUCACAGUAUCAUUAUAUGCCUAAAAAUUUAACAAUCAUCUUUGAGUACCAUCAAAUAUCCAUCAGUAUUCAAAUACCAAAUGUAUCAUAAAUGAUAAAAAUCAUUUUUGACAGUCUGUUUGACUCAAGAUCUAAAUAAGGUUCACAUAUUGAGAUUGGUUGGUGUGUUUAAUUUCCUUAUAAUUUGUAGAUUCCCUACCUCCAUAUCUUUCUUUUAUUCUUUCCAUUUAUAUGUUAAGGAAUUGGAUCAUUUGUCCUCUAGGGUUUUG